rnacentral:rRNA from 1 species
GACGAACGCUGGCGGCGUGCUUAACACAUGCAAGUCGAACGGAAAGGCCCUGCUUUUGUGGGGUGCUCGAGUGGCGAACGGGUGAGUAACACGUGAGUAACCUGCCCUUGACUUUGGGAUAACUUCAGGAAACUGGGGCUAAUACCGGAUAGGAGCUCCUGCUGCAUGGUGGGGGUUGGAAAGUUUCGGCGGUUGGGGAUGGACUCGCGGCUUAUCAGCUUGUUGGUGGGGUAGUGGCUUACCAAGGCUUUGACGGGUAGCCGGCCUGAGAGGGUGACCGGCCACAUUGGGACUGAGAUACGGCCCAGACUCCUACGGGAGGCAGCAGUGGGGAAUAUUGCACAAUGGGCGGAAGCCUGAUGCAGCAACGCCGCGUGCGGGAUGACGGCCUUCGGGUUGUAAACCGCUUUCGCCUGUGACGAAGCGUGAGUGACGGUAAUGGGUAAAGAAGCACCGGCUAACUACGUGCCAGCAGCCGCGGUGAUACGUAGGGUGCGAGCGUUGUCCGGAUUUAUUGGGCGUAAAGGGCUCGUAGGUGGUUGAUCGCGUCGGAAGUGUAAUCUUGGGGCUUAACCCUGAGCGUGCUUUCGAUACGGGUUGACUUGAGGAAGGUAGGGGAGAAUGGAAUUCCUGGUGGAGCGGUGGAAUGCGCAGAUAUCAGGAGGAACACCAGUGGCGAAGGCGGUUCUCUGGGCCUUUCCUGACGCUGAGGAGCGAAAGCGUGGGGAGCGAACAGGCUUAGAUACCCUGGUAGUCCACGCUGUAAACGGUGGGUACUAGGUGUGGGGUCCAUUCCACGGGUUCCGUGCCGUAGCUAACGCUUUAAGUACCCCGCCUGGGGAGUACGGCCGCAAGGCUAAAACUCAAAGGAAUUGACGGGGCCCCGCACAAGCGGCGGAGCAUGCGGAUUAAUUCGAUGCAACGCGUAGAACCUUACCUGGGUUUGACAUGGAUCGGGAGUGCUCAGAGAUGGGUGUGCCUCUUUUGGGGUCGGUUCACAGGUGGUGCAUGCCUGUCGUCAGCUCGUGUCGUGAGAUGUUGGGUUAAGUCCCGCAACGAGCGCAACCCUUAUCCUUUGUUGCCAGCGGUCCGGCCGGGAACUCAAAGGAGACUGCCAGUGAUAAACUGGAGGAAGGUGGGGAUGACGUCAAGUCAUCAUGGCCCUUACGAGUAGGGCUACACACGUGCUACAAUGGCAUAUACAAAGAGAAGCGACCUCGCGAGAGCAAGCGGACCUCAUAAAGUAUGUCGUAGUCCGGAUUGGAGUCUGCAGCUCGACUCCAUGAAGUCGGAAUCGCUAGUAAUCGUAGAUCAGAAUGCUACGGUGAAUACGUUCCCGGGCCU